rnacentral:rRNA from 1 species
GUCUGUGGCCAUGCUACCUUAAACAAGCCUGAUCCCAGAGUCUGAUCUUGGAAGCUAAUUUUCGUUGGGCCUGGUUAGUACUUGGAUGGGAGACCACCUAGGAAGACCAGGUGCUGUAGGCA